rnacentral:rRNA from 1 species
GAGGAAUAAGCAUCGGCUAACUCCGUGCCAGCAGCCGCGGUAAUACGGGGGAUGCAAGCGUUAUCCGGAAUCAUUGGGCGUAAAGCGCCUGUAGGUUGUUUACUAAGUCUGUUGUUAAAGACUAGGGCUUAACCCUAGAAAAGCAAUGGAAACUUGUAGACUAGAGUAUGGCAGGGGUAGAGGGAAUUUCUAGUGUAGCGGUGAAAUGCGUAGAUAUUAGAAAGAACACCAGUGGCGAAAGCGCUCUACUGGACCAUUACUGACACUCAGAGGCGAAAGCUAGGGUAGCAAAAGGGAUUAGAUACCCCUGUAGUCCUAGCCGUAAACGAUGGAUACUAGAUGUUGUGCUUUUGUACAGUAUCCUAGCUAACGCGUUAAGUAUCCCGCCUGGGGAGUACGCUCGCAAGGGUGAAACUCAAAGGAAUUGACGGGGGCCCGCACAAGCGGUGGAGCAUGUGGUUUAAUUCGAUGCAACGCGAAGAACCUUACCAGGGCUUGACAUACUACAAAUUCUUUUGAAAAAGAGAAGUGCCUUCGGGAAUGUAGAUACAGGUGGUGCAUGGCUGUCGUCAGCUCGUGUCGUGAGAUGUUGGGUUAAGUCCCGCAACGAGCGCAACCCUUAUUUUUAGUUACCAAUUCGUUGGGUUUUUUAGAAAGACUGCCGGUGACAAACCGGAGGAAGGUGAGGAUGACGUCAAGUCAGCAUGCCCCUUAUGUCCUGGGCUACACACGUGCUACAAUGGUUAAGACAAUGAGUCGCAAGCUCGUGAGAGUAAGCUAAUCUAUUAAACUUAGCCUAAGUUCAGAUUGUAGGCUGCAACUCGCCUACAUGAAG